CCCAUACAGGGCCAUGGACCGCACGAU
rnacentral:sRNA from 1 species